rnacentral:rRNA from 1 species
CCUCCUUCGGGAGGGGAUUAGUGGCGAACGGGUGAGUAACACGUGGGCAAUCUGCCCUGCACUCUGGGACAAGCCCUGGAAACGGGGUCUAAUACCGGAUACGAGUUUCACAGGCAUCUGUGAUUCUGGAAAGCUCCGGCGGUGCAGGAUGAGCCCGCGGCCUAUCAGCUUGUUGGUGAGGUAACGGCUCACCAAGGCGACGACGGGUAGCCGGCCUGAGAGGGCGACCGGCCACACUGGGACUGAGACACGGCCCAGACUCCUACGGGAGGCAGCAGUGGGGAAUAUUGCACAAUGGGCGCAAGCCUGAUGCAGCGACGCCGCGUGAGGGAUGACGGCCUUCGGGUUGUAAACCUCUUUCAGCAGGGAAGAAGCGAAAGUGACGGUACCUGCAGAAGAAGCGCCGGCUAACUACGUGCCAGCAGCCGCGGUAAUACGUAGGGCGCAAGCGUUGUCCGGAAUUAUUGGGCGUAAAGAGCUCGUAGGCGGCUUGUCGCGUCGGAUGUGAAAGCCCGGGGCUUAACCCCGGGUCUGCAUUCGAUACGGGCAGGCUAGAGUUCGGUAGGGGAGAUCGGAAUUCCUGGUGUAGCGGUGAAAUGCGCAGAUAUCAGGAGGAACACCGGUGGCGAAGGCGGAUCUCUGGGCCGAUACUGACGCUGAGGAGCGAAAGCGUGGGGAGCGAACAGGAUUAGAUACCCUGGUAG